rnacentral:rRNA from 1 species
AUUGAACGCUGGCGGCAUGCUUUACACAUGCAAGUCGAACGGCAGCGCGGGCUUCGGCCUGGCGGCGAGUGGCGAACGGGUGAGUAAUACAUCGGAACGUGCCCAGUAGUGGGGGAUAGCUCGGCGAAAGCCGGAUUAAUACCGCAUACGACCUGAGGGUGAAAGCGGGGGAUCUUCGGACCUCGCGCUAUUGGAGCGGCCGAUGGCAGAUUAGCUAGUUGGUGGGGUAAAGGCCUACCAAGGCGACGAUCUGUAGCUGGUCUGAGAGGACGACCAGCCACACUGGAACUGAGACACGGCCCAGACUCCUACGGGAGGCAGCAGUGGGGAAUUUUGGACAAUGGGCGAAAGCCUGAUCCAGCAAUGCCGCGUGUGUGAUGAAGGCCUUCGGGUUGUAAAGCACUUUUGGCGGGAACGAAAAGGACCGUGCCAAUACCACGGUUCGAUGACGGUACCCGCAGAAUAAGCACCGGCUAACUACGUG